rnacentral:rRNA from 1 species
AUUGAACGCUGGCGGCAGGCCUAACACAUGCAAGUCGAGCGGAUCGCCGGAGGGGGGAGUAAUGCCAAGGACUCUGCCUGGUCGUGGGGGAUGACGUUAGGUAAUGGGAGCUAAUACCGCAUACUAUUAGCUGCGCCUAUGUCGGAUUAGCUAGGUGGGGGGGUAAAGGCCUACCAAGGCGACGAUCCGUAACUGGUCUGAGAGGAUGAUCAGUCACACUGGAACUGAGACACGGUCCAGACUCCUACGGGAGGCAGCAGUGGGGAAUAUUGGACAAUGGGCGAAAGCCUGAUCCAGCCAUGCCGCGUGUGUGAAGAAGGUCUUCGGAUUGUAAAGCACUUUAAGUUGGGAGGCGUUACCAACAGAAUAAGCACCGGCUAACUUCGUGCCAGCAGCCGCGGUAAUUC